rnacentral:lncRNA from 1 species
UGUGCUGACAUUUUGGCACUUGUUUCUCAAAUACUGGUUUCUGAGGUACGUACUAUAUAACAUGGGGUGUGAUAUCCACACACCCCUUUUUACUUCUCACACACCCUUCUAAUUUUCGGCCGUCAGAUCGGAUGAAAUAAAGAAGAUCAACGAACAUAAAUUAACAAGAGGUGUGUGAGAAGUAAAAAGGGGUGUGUGGAUAGCACACCCCUAUAACAUACACAGGCUCUUAUCUAAUGGGAUCUUCAUUUUUUCGGUAAAUAUAGACUAGUUGUGGAGUCAACUUUACAUUGAACUUCAACGAUUUGAAUUGUGUGUUUUUCAAGUUGCACAUUAUAAAACAUCUUACAAAAUAUUAGCCAAAUUGGAAAUGUUUGAGACAUCUAAAUGAGUUUCAAGAAAUUGACGAACACUAUGUUUUAAGAAAUAUUGAAAUUUUAUCAUAACAAUCAAAAGAGUAAAUAACUUCAGAUUGAAUUUAUUUUUUGCAAUAAUGAUCUAUGAAUGAAAACUUAAAAAAUAGAUAGUUUAGACCGUUAAAGCUUGAUG